rnacentral:rRNA from 1 species
GUGAACGCUGGCGGUAGGCCUAACACAUGCAAGUCGAACGGCAGCACAGUAAGCGCUUGCUCUUACGGGUGGCGAGUGGCGGACGGGUGAGGAAUACAUCGGAAUCUACUUUUUCGUGGAGGAUAACGUAGGGAAACUUACGCUAAUACCGCAUACGACCUACGGGUGAAAGCAGGGGAUCUUCGGACCUUGCGCGAUUGAAUGAGCCGAUGUCGGAUUAGCUAGUUGGCGGGGUAAAGGCCCACCAAGGCGACGAUCCGUAGCUGGUCUGAGAGGAUGAUCAGCCACACUGGAACUGAGACACGGUCCAGACUCCUACGGGAGGCAGCAGUGGGGAAUAUUGGACAAUGGGCGCAAGCCUGAUCCAGCCAUACCGCGUGGGUGAAGAAGGCCUUCGGGUUGUAAAGCCCUUUUGUUGGAAAGAAAAGCAGCAGGUUAAUACCCCGCUGUUCUGACGGUACCCAAAGAAUAAGCACCGGCUAACUUCGUG